UGUUGCUUUCCUUCUAAUUCUGGUUGCAUUGGUUUUGUUUUUACAAAACCUCUUUAUUAUAAUCAAAAUUAUUCAUUUUACAUUUGUAAUAUUCUCUAUCUCUUGCUUGGUCUUAAAUUCCUUCCUUUUCCAUAUAACUGACAGGUAUACUAUUCUAUGAUUUAUUUAUUUAUAAUUUCACUCCUUAUAUUUAACUCAUUUGCCCAUUUUGAAUUUAUCAUGGUAUAGGGUGUGAGAUGUUGAUCUAAACCUGAUUUUUCCUGUACUGUUUUCUAAUUUUCCCAGUAGUUUUUGUCAAAAAAUGAGUUCUUGUCCCAAAAGCUGGAAUAUUUGGGAUUAUCAGACACUAGCUUGCUGAGGUAUUGAUCCACCCUUCUAUCUCUUAGCCAAUCCCACGUUGUUUUGAUGAUCGCUGCUUUAUAGUGCAGUUUAAGAUCUUGUACUGCUAGACCCCAAUCCUUUACAUUUGUUUUCAUUAUUUCCUUUGAUAUUCUUGAUCUUUUGUUCUUCCAGGUGAACCUUAUUAUGUUUGGUUUUUUUCUAAUACUAUAAAAUAUAAAGUUUCUUGAUAAUUUGAUAGGUAUGGCACUGAAUAAGUAAAUUAAUUUGGGUAGGAUUGUCAGUUUUAUUAUAUUAGCUUGCCCUAUCCAGGAGCAAUUAAUGUUUUUCCAAUUAUUUAGAUCUGGUUUUAAUUAUGUGAAAAGUAUUAUGUAGUUGUGUUCAUAUAAUUCCUGUGUUCAUCUUGGUAUAUAAUGCCCUUUUUAAAUGGAAAGGUGUUUUGAAUCUUGGUAUGUCGACUUAAUUUCUCUCUUUGCUUUUCAGAACAACUUCAGAAGGUAUUUGGCAAGAAAGUGCUAGAAUAUGCUUUGAAUUUAUGUCAGGGGCAUUAUGAUUUUUUAAUUCGAAUGCCUGACAACCUACUCAUACACAUUUUUUCUUUCUUGAAUUUGGAUGACAUUGGACGAUUGUCCAAAACCUGCAAAAAAUUCCAAAAGAUGUGUAACAGUGAAGAGUUCUGGGAGAAGAUUAGAACACUGCAGAACAAAAGUGCUUUUGAUAUAAAGAGAGUGGGUCUAACGGUUUAUAAGAAGCUCAUAAAUUUCCAUCAAAAAACUGACCAUCAGAGGCAACCCAAACAGAGACGACAAACUGCAUUCUUCUAAAUACUGAAACAGGAAUUUUCAUUCAGCAACCAGGAUCAUAAUUGUAUCAUUUUUUUUAAAUUUAAUUUU
rnacentral:lncRNA from 1 species